rnacentral:tRNA from 1 species
UCUUCUGUAGAUUAUUGUACUAAAUCGCUGAUUUGUGGUGUCGGAGAAUUUGUGUAACGGGGGAA